AAUUCUCAACCUCAUCAGUUUUCUUGUAAGACUGUGUGAGGCUUGGAUGUGGGGGUUUGUGCAGGCUGCCUCAGCGCGGUCUGCUCCCCUGAAAUGCAUUAGCGAGUUACAACUGGGCUCCGUCUAUUGGUGUGAUAAUUAUCUACGCCGUGGAUUGGGCUUAGACUUGCUUCUAACCGUCCGCAAGGACAAUCUUUUGACA
rnacentral:misc_RNA from 1 species